rnacentral:snoRNA from 1 species
GAGAUGUGAUGAACGAAAUUGGUCCGUGUUUCUGAUUGAACAGUGACAGAUAACACCUUUUUUUUUACUCUUCUGAUCUC